GAUCAGGCUCAAGUUGGUUUCCCUCUCUCCAGUCCCUUCUUUCACAGGGAGUUUUGUGCUUUGCCUGGGGAAUGGCUUCAAGCAAGUGCAACAAGACACAGAGGAGUGAACUUUCAUCCCAGUCACAGGGCACUGUCUAAUUGCCCCUGUGUCCCUGCACCAGGGGAGAGAGACCUAGUAUCACUGAGAAUAGCUUACCAGCAGCUGACUUGGCUGUGCAGCGCACCAUGCUUCAACGGUGCUGGUCUGACUGCAUGUCAGGACACAAAUCUAGGAACCAGGACUCCUGGGUAGGGUGACCAAAGGGGGUGGGAUUACCAGGAGCCCCACCAGCUACAGGACCGGGAAGUGCAGUGGGACCUGAUCCUGCAGGUUUUGUCCAGCCAAGAGCAGGCGCCUGGUCAGUGCCUCUCUCUUUGAGGUGGUUUGUUCUUGUAUAAAGCCCAGAGGGAGGAAAUGGAGCUGUGCCCAGCUGAGCUGCCCCACUGCAGGUACCUGGAGAUGGGGUUUCUCCUCCUUUUUAAAGAAGGGCAGAAUUGAGGUACAAAUCUGGAUCAGUCCCACCAGCUGAGGAUUCAUUUUCUUGUUAAAAUCACGGUCCAGGGGCAUGAAUAUUUCAUGUGAUUUUAAAGUCCCAUCUUGUUUCUCUUAGCAAUUAAUUCACAGGAGCUUGAGAGUGAUAGAAGAACCAGUAUCAGGGAGGAAGUGGCUCUCUGAUCUCUCACCCAGGAGUGAGCAGGUCAGGACCAGGUCCUUGGGCAAUGCUGCUGGAGGCUCCAGCAAGUGCAGAGUUGGGAGGGGAGCAAGGGUCUCUUCAGCUUUCAGGCUUGUGGCCUGCGUUUAGAAAAAAAAUUGAAGAAUGGGAUGGAGCCAAGAGGACCAUGUCUUUGGAGUGAGGGGCUGACUAAUGUUCCCUGCCAGCUCUGUGAGUAGGAGGCAGGAGCUGGGCAUGCUCUGGAGGCCGCCCCCUGCCUAGCAUGUGACAAGAAAUGUUUGCGCUCUAACCUUGUGUGUAUUUUCUCUCCAAUUCAGACCAUCUUUUCCAGGACAGAUGUUGCAAGGCUUCCAAACCCUUCCCAGUUCAGGGUUCACUUCCCUGUCACAAUGGUUGAAAUGCAGUGUACAGUCAGUGUGGAUUGAAACGCUGGUUCUCAUUGCAGUCUAUUUAGAGCCACCAGUAUCGUUGGGGCACAGGAGGGGAGUCGUCCUCUCCUGGGUAAUAACAGGCCUGAAGACAAGGUCCAGGGAGAACCCAACAGCUACUGGGCAAAGCAAGAAGCCCAUCGGAGGGUGGCAGGAGUUUCCCCCAGGUGGAAGGAAAAGGCCAGCAAGAGAAAGUCUGGGAGGGACAAGACUCCUAGAGUGGGCAAGCAGAGAGGUAAAAUGGUGGUGGGUAGGAGAGGUUCAGAUCUGUUCCAGGGCAAAGGUCUCUAGAAGAGGAUGGCUUCAAGCAUGGGCGACUGGUGGCCUCCUGAGUCAGGUGGGGCACAUGCCCCGCCCCCCCAGCAGCCAGUCAGAGACUGUUGGGGGAGGUCCCCCACAGCCAAUCACACCGACCAGGGGGUGUCCCAAUCUCAGGGACCCUGCUCCCCAGCUGGUGCUUGCAGGGAGGGCACCAGUGGUCCUGCCUGCUGCCCCAAUCCUCACCCAACCAGUGCAUACUGGCUGCCAGGGGGUGCACCAGCACCCUCAGGGGGUGCACAUGCACCCCUGGGUACCCCCUAUGUGUUGCCACUGGCUUCAAAGAGAAUGCCAUAGUUUCUUUCAGGGGAAGGUGUCAUCCCCAUCGAACGUCAGUGACUGCAGGUCCAAACAACUGUGGAUAUUCCCUGGAGGUAAGGUAGAAGGCCUCAGUGUAAAGAGUGCGAGGGGUUACCAGGGCCUGUGAGCACCUGCCCAUCUCCUGCCCCACAUCUCUCAGGGCAGGUGAGGGGCCUGCAACACCGAGGGGGCUUCCCAUGUCUGUGCAGGAAAUGCAGAAACAGGUGGAAAAUCCACCCCCUACAAUGUGGGCACUCAGCCCCUGGCAGACAGAACUAGGAUUCCAUCCCAUUUCAUUCAUACAAAGGCAACUGCACAUUAUAAGGAAGCUGUAAGUGCGGCAGGGCCCUGUUUGUAACUUGGUCUCCACAAUAUGGUCUCCUCACUGAGGGCCUUUCUGUCACGUGGAGAGGCCUGUGCCUAGGAUCAUGUUCCCCCAGUUCUUCAGGAGAAAGAAUGCGGGUUGGCGCAUUAGGGUGGUACGCUCCUCAGGGUCUACUAAAUCUGACCCGUGUUCUAAUAUUAAUUGUCCCAACCAUAUUACCAGUGUUUCACCUGGAUUCACCCUGUGUGCUGGCAUAAGAAACUAGCUGCUCCCAGCGCUAAGGAAGACCAGCUGAAGAAACCCACCACCUCCAGGUCCAGGGGAGCUGGAGGUGGCCCUGGGUGCACUUGGGCAGCUGGGAGCCUGGAAAAGAAGAGCACUGGGCAGGAGAGUUGUGCAGCCCCCCACUCAGGGCAUGGGGGCAGCCUGGAACCCAGCCCUGCAGCCCCCAGCAGGAGGCAGCCCUCUAGUAGAGGUGCAAUGGAGGGCCCAGCCUCCCUGGGGCAGGAGCUAAGCCAGUCCUGCAGCAGCCCCAGCCUGAGCUGCUGCUCCUCCUCCGUGGACUUGAACAGCUCUCUGGAAUCCAGAAGUCCCCCCACCCCUGGCACCAGCAUCACUGGUGAGGUGAUGCAUUGUGGGCCAGGAGAGCUCAGUGCCAUUUACUCUGUGAGGCCAGUAGGACGGUCAGUGGGGAUGGGCAGGUGGAUCCAUUCCUGGCCAAGGCAAGGGAGCUGAGCCGCACAAACCUCCUGGUCCCCAUGUGUGGUGUGGCCUUGUUGGGAGUGGGUGAAGGGGGAGGCAGGGUCAAUUGUGGUGGGGACAGGUACCUCCCAGGGGAGCAGGGACAGUCCAGUAUGCUCUCAGGUACCGGGGCUGUGAGAGUGCAGGGGCUGAGGAGGGGGAUGGAGAGGAGCCAUGUGAGACUUGCAAAAACAGGGGGCCCUUGUGUUGGUGAGGGGAGCACGACACCAUCUCUGCCCCACACUCCAAUUUCCUUCUCUUUACGGAUACAGGACUCACCCUCCCCACUUUUCUCGCCACUGCAGUGAUUUCCAGCCUGGCUGGUGAGGAGACCAAAGGCAUGGAAGAAGAGGAAGAGGAUCAGGGAAAAGAUUGGAAGAGCCUGGAGGAAGCUGCCGUCAUAAUCAGAAAGCAUCUCCAGGAACCAGGGGAGGAGCUGAUGGAGGAUGUGUCAAUGGAGGAAGACCUGGGAAACAUUCUCCCUGACAGCAUAGCUGCCAUCUUGUAUCUCAGCAAUUGUGUGAUGCCAGCUGGAGAGCAACAGGACACCUGGUCUCGGCGGGGAUUUUACUAUGUGAUCUCUCACCCAAGAUUGAACAGGUCAGGAUUGGGUCCUUGGGCAAUGCUACAGGAG